GCAUAUCAAUAAGCGGAGGAAAAGAAACUAACAAGGAUUCCCCUAGUAACGGCGAGUGAAGCGGGAAGAGCUCAAAUUUGUAAUCUGGCACUUUCAGUGUCCGAGUUGUAAUCUCGAGAAGUGUUUUCCGCGCCGGACUGCAUACAAGUCUGUUGGAAUACAGCGUCAUAGUGGUGAGAACCCCGUAACUGAUGCAGAUGCCCGGUGCUUUGUGAUACACUUUCGAAGAGUCGAGUUGUUUGGGAAUGCAGCUCAAAUUGGGUGGUAAAUUCCAUCUAAAGCUAAAUAUUGGCGAGAGACCGAUAGCGAACAAGUACCGUGAGGGAAAGAUGAAAAGCACUUUGGAAAGAGAGUUAACAGUACGUGAAAUUGUUGGAAGGGAAACGAUUGAAGUCAGACUUGUUAUCUGGAGUUCAGCCUUUCGGUGUACUCUCCAGUUUACAGGCCAGCAUCAGUUUUCGGGGCGGGAAAAUCGUAAUUUGAAGGUAGCAGCCUAGCUGUGUUAUAGCUUUUUACUGGAUUCCGCUUUGGGGACUGAGGAACGCAGUGUGCUUUUAGCAAUACCCUCGGGUAUUUCACACUUAGGAUGCUGGUGGAAUGGCUUUAAACGACCCGUCUUGAAACACGGACCAAGGAGUCUAACAUGCUUGCGAGUAUUUGGGUGUCAAACCCGGAUGCGCAAUGAAAGUGAAUGAAGGUGGGAUCCGCAAGGUGCACCAUCGACCGAUCUGGAUUUUUUAAGAUGGAUUUGAGUAAGAGCAAUUAUGUUGGGACCCGAAAGAUGGUGAACUAUGCCUGAAUAGGGCGAAGCCAGAGGAAACUCUGGUGGAGGCUCGUAGCGGUUCUGACGUGCAAAUCGAUCGUCAAAUUUGGGUAUAGGGGCGAAAGACUAAUCGAACCAUCUAGUAGCUGGUUCCUGCCGAAGUU
rnacentral:rRNA from 1 species